rnacentral:lncRNA from 1 species
GGACUUCUGCAAGAUGACAAGAGUUAAGAAACAAGAAUCCAAAGAUGCAUGAAAAAAUGGUGAAAGAUGGAAGUACUGCAACUGAAAAGUUGGCUGUGAGCAUUCAACCUUAGGAAAAGAUAAGAAAUUUUUCUCUGCAGAGAACAUCACUUUCAAAUGAAACUGGAAGAACAACAGUUAAAUGUUGCUGGCUGGGCUUCUUUUGCUGCUCUGCUGUCAGGAAGCCCAGUGUUCCGCUGAGGGAUCUGAGGCUGCCCUCGCUUCCUGCCAGGGAGCUGCCCCCACCCUCCGCACAGCCCGGAUCCAAAGGAGCAACCAGCACAGGUGAGAAGAUCCUGAAGAACCGUUUGCUGUGUUUGGGAGGCAGACUGCUACUGAUAUGAGGAUAGAAAAACUCUAUAACUUGCAGAGUAGUUACAAGAGUAGGUAUGAAUUUAUUCAGUGCUGAGGUGCAUGGGGGUAUCUUCUCUGAAAAGCAUGCAGACUUUUGAAAUUUGGCUUUCUCCUUUUAUCUUUU